AAAGAAAGAGGGGGGCAUGCCUAACACAUGCAAGUCGAACGAGACCUUCGGGUCUAGUGGCGCACGGGUGCGUAACGCGUGGGAACCUGCCCUUAGGUUCGGAAUAACUCCCCGAAAGGGGUGCUAAUACCGGAUAAUGUCUUCGGACCAAAGAUUUAUCGCCUUUGGAUGGGCCCGCGUUGGAUUAGCUAGUUGGUAGGGUAAAAGCCUACCAAGGCGACGAUCCAUAGCUGGUCUGAGAGGAUGAUCAGCCACACUGGGACUGAGACACGGCCCAGACUCCUACGGGAGGCAGCAGUGGGGAAUAUUGGACAAUGGGCGAAAGCCUGAUCCAGCAAUGCCGCGUGAGUGAUGAAGGCCGUAGGGUUGUAAAGCUCUUUUACCCGGGAUGAUAAUGACAGUACCGGGAGAAUAAGCUCCGGCUAACUCCGUG
rnacentral:rRNA from 1 species